ACGGAGGAUCCAAGCGUUAUCCGGAUUUAUUGGGCUUAAAGGGCGCGUAGGCGGAUUGACAAGUCUGUGGUGAAAGUCCACAGCUCAACUCCAGAUCUGCCGUGGAUACUGGCAGACUAGAGUGAGGUAGAGGAGACUGGAAUGUGUGAUGUAGCGGUGGAAUGCGCAGAUAUCACGAGGAACACCGAUGGCGAAGGCAGGUCUCUGGGAAUUAACUGACGCUGAGGAGCGAAAGCAUGGGGAGCGAACAG
rnacentral:rRNA from 1 species